UACGUAGGGGGCAAGCGUUGUUCGGAUUCAUUGGGCGUAAAGAGCGUGUAGGCGGCCAGGCAGGUCGGUUGUGAAAACUGGAGGCUCAACCUUCAGAGGUCGACCGAAACCAUCUGGCUAGAGUCCGGGAGAGGAGAGUGGAAUUCCUGGUGUAGCGGUGAAAUGCGCAGAUAUCAGGAAGAACACCCGUGGCGAAAGCGGCUCUCUGGAACGGUACUGACGCUGAGACGCGAAAGCGUGGGGAGCGAACAGG
rnacentral:rRNA from 1 species